AAGUAGAGAGCCGCGGCAGAGAUUCGAUAUGGAAAUGGAAGCGGAGUUUUGACUUUUAUUAUACAUGUCCUCUGUGUACCGUAGACGGCACAGCGUAAAUAAUUUGUGGAUUUGUUUCCCUUUACAUUAUAUACCUUAAUGCACCAUGUUUGUAGUGAGCCGAUAGCCCAAGGUAGCUAUUUCCACCUUAAAAUUAUGAUUUUCUGCAGGUAACAGGGGCGGCACGGGGGUUUGCGCGGGAAGACGGCGCCGGUCCGGGCUCGAACUUCGAACUGACGUUAGUGUUUCCCGGAAAUGACGUCACAUAAUUGUCCCCUGUCCCAUGGUAACCGACGUUGUAUGCAGCGCGGGAAGGUGAACAUGAAAGAUGUAGGUAACAGGGGCGGCACGGGGGUUUGCGCGGGAAGACGGCGCCGGUCCGGGCUCGAACUUCGAACUGACGUUAGUGUUUCCCGGAAAUGACGUCACAUAAUUGUCCCCUGUCCCAUGGUAACCGACGUUGUAUGCAGCGCGGGAAGGUGAACAUGAAAGAUGUAGGUAACAGGGGCGGCACGGGGGUUUGCGCGGGAAGACGGCGCCGGUCCGGGCUCGAACUUCGAACUGACGUUAGUGUUUCCCGGAAAUGACGUCACAUAAUUGUCCCCUGUCCCAUGGUAACCGACGUUGUAUGCAGCGCGGGAAGGUGAACAUGAAAGAUGUAGGUAACAGGGUCGGCACGGGGGUUUGCGCGGGAAGACGGCGCCGGUCCGGGCUCGAACUUCGAACUGACGUUAGUGUUUCCCGGAAAUGACGUCACAUAAUUGUCCCCUGUCCCAUGGUAACCGACGUUGUAUGCAGCGCGGGAAGGUGAACAUGAAAGAUCUUUCGUGGACGGCACGUAGUUUUUCGCCGAAAGGCAGCGCCGGUCCGUUCUCCAACGUUGAAGUGACGUGAAUGUUUCCGGAAAUAACGUCACGUAAUUGUCCCCUGUCCGAUAGUUCCCGACGCGGUAUCCGGCGCGGGAAACUGAAAAUGAAAGAUGUAGGUAGGAAAUUGCAAUUUCAUCUGAAGACAACUUAAAGAAGUAGUGUAAAAUGCACAUUAAAAUUAGUAGACUGUACUGUACCGCAGACCUUAACCUGAACCCCCGUGUCGGAACGUUUUGUAGGAGGUCAGGAAGGGCCGGGGUGUUUAGUUGGCGGCUGGUGUCGAUAUUGUGCGCAUCAGGACAUGUAAAACGAUACAAUCAGAUAAAUUAAUUAAAUGUGUGUAGUAUUGUUCGUGCAUUAAUGCUGUUAAAUAAGAAAUACAUAGAAAAAUUCUCAAAUGAAAUAGAUAAUAACAACAACAAUAAUAAUAAUAAUGAUGACAAGAAUAAUGAUAUUAAUAAUAAUAAAAGUAGUAAUUAUGUCCCUUUGUGAAUUUUUGUAAGAAACCCUGCAGGCCAUAUCACGUUGAAAACACAUGUUCUCGUGAAAUCAAGGAACAUAAGCAACGUUGAGCCCGGUUAUUACUUGAAAGGGUGACCACGUGGGAAUACCGCGUGCCGUUAUGCUUUAUAAUCUUAGAGCGAGCAGGUUGAUCUGUUUAAAGCGAAAACACUUUGGUAUAU
rnacentral:lncRNA from 1 species